UGUGUAUACCCAGAUAGCAAGCAUACGUUGGCCCUACGUUGGCAAAACAUUGUGAGCCAACGGUGCAUAUCGUUGGCCUGACGGUGUGAGCCAACGCUGGCCCUACGACAUUUUGGCCGCUGGCCUAACGUUGGCACACCGUUGGCAUAGCGACGUAACCGCGUCAUUUCGGCCGUAGGGCCACCGUUUGACCAAUGUGCAUUAUCCCCCGAUGGCCACCGUUGGCUUAUCGCCAAUUGCCAACUUAUAAUUAAGGUAGCCAAAUUGUAUUAAUUUGCCUUUACCAAAUAAUUUGAAUUUCCUUUUAAUUAAACCUAGCAACAAGAGUUUUGAGUUCAAAAACCAUUCAAACAUCAUGGAAUUAAACCGGAAAGUGUUAACAUUUAUUAAAUGCUUGUAAUGAUAAUAAUAAUAAUAAUAAUAAUAAUAAUAAGAAGAAGAAUAAAUUAAUUAAAAAUGAAUUAAAAUCCGAGUCGGUGUGCAGGCGGAAGGCGGGUCACUCCAGGCUGCUGCAGUCGUCGUCACUGUCGCUGCUAGAACUGCUAGUUGUAUCAUCCAGGAUGACCGGUGAAGGACUCGGAGGAGGAAGACUGAACUGCUGGGGACCUGGAAUGUAGAAGACCAUCGUUAAGCGUACAAUUUGGUGACAUGGGUAAAGCUCCAUCAAACUGUAAAAGGUUCAGCACAUCCCUCUUGCCCCUCAAACGCUUCAAGAGAAAGCUAUGUAAGCAAAAGCCAGCUUCUUCCCUCCUCUGCCAAGCCAGUUGAAUUGCAGCGCGAAGUGGUUGGUGAGGAUGUGGCGAAGGAUUCUUCGAACCGCGUCACCAGGAUUGCAGCCCCCAAGCGCACUA